rnacentral:lncRNA from 1 species
UUGGCCAUCCCUGGAACGCUGAUCACUUAAAGUACUAUUACAAGUAAACUCACAUUGUACAAGUGUUAAGCUUCAGCCAUUCGGCAUCCUAUGUAAUGAAGACUAUUUGGCAUGAAUGCAAUAAAGAGGUGAUUUAGAAAACUCGGUCCUAAUCCUCUUACAUUCCUAGCAAUGAAACACUCAGGUUCAAAACUUCAACAUGAAUGCUUCCAACAUGAAACAAAGUCUAUGUCAACAAGACUAUACAAAUAAACGAACAACUUCACAGUAUAUUCGUUCAAUCAUACAUUCCAACACAUUCAUACAUAAGCCAACUGUGUUUCGAAAGGGUUCAAUAUACUUUGUGUCAUUCAACACUUGCUACAAUGUUCCUCGACACCUUGCCCUUAUUCUCACCAACCAGGUGAUGAAAUGUGAAGAAGGAACUCAUCAUCAUGCCACCAACCAGGUGAUGAAAUGUACAACUCGUAUUCUAAUAUCAUUUGGAAACUUGCCACUCAUGCCACCAACCAGGUGAAGAAUGAACUCAUCUUCAUGCCACCAACCAGGUGAUGAAAUGUACAACCCAUACUCUCCUUUAUGCCACCAACCAGGUGAUGAAAUGUACAACCCGUACUCUAAUAUCAUUUGGCAACUUGCCAUUCAUGCCACCAACCAGGUGAAGAAGAAACUCAUCCUCGUGCCACUAACCGGUGAUGAAAUGUGAUGAAGGAACUCACCUUUGUACCACCAACCAAGUGAUGAAAGCAACUCACCAUUCAUUCCACCUACCAGAAGACGAGUGGUACAACUUGUACAUGUGAACUCCUAGCAUUCACAAAUAAUCAAAAACCCUUAAGCUUAACAACUCAACUAGGGGAGCAUUUAUGCCCAACAAGAGUUAUAGUCACCAAUAAAGUCUUAUUGCAAGCCAACAAUAACUUCAGUGUAUGGCAUACGAAGAUCAAGCUAUUGAGCCGUCUUGCAUCUGCUUCAGACAUUUCUCAUCUGUAACAAUGCAAACACUACAACUCGUAGAAAGCUUCACACACUCUUGAUCAAGACAGUGUGAAGCAAAACCAAUUUAUGGUGCCAACAAGAGCUUCAUCAAAGGAGUUCAACCACAAUUCUCAAAAGCUUCAUACACUCUUGAUCAAGAUAGUGUGAAGUGAUAGGAGCAUAUUUAUACGACUUAGUUAGCUUGUUCUUGUGCAUUUAUGUUGUUAUUUCUUAGUUGAUUUAGUAUUUCAAGC